rnacentral:misc_RNA from 1 species
AAAGAAGAAUACCUCACUGCUCAACCUCGAGGCCAAACCCUAAAUUAUAGAAACAGAAAAGAAAGCAAAGAAGCCCAAUUCAAUUGCCUGAGCAAAAACCUCUCUCUUGCUGUUCGUGUCGGUCACAGUGCGCCUGUGAGAGAUGAGACGAUUGGGAGGAAGAGUAGCAUCUCUACAAGAACUAGAAAAUCAGGGAGAGGCAUAAAAGCAGUUGAAGA